rnacentral:rRNA from 1 species
UACGAAGGGGGCUAGCGUUGCUCGGAAUUACUGGGCGUAAAGGGCGCGUAGGCGGAUGUCUAAGUCGGGGGUGAAAGCCCAGGGCUCAACCCUGGAAUUGCCUUCGAUACUGGACAUCUUGAGUACGGGAGAGGUGAGUGGAACUCCGAGUGUAGAGGUGAAAUUCGUAGAUAUUCGGAAGAACACCAGUGGCGAAGGCGGCUCACUGGCCCGGUAC